AACGCAUCUUGCACCCUUUGGUCUUCCAAAGGGUAUGCCUGUUUGAGUAUCAUUAAUAUCAUCAACACAUGAACUUAUGUGAUAUGUGUUUGGAUGCUGAAGGUAUGCCAGCUUUUAUGGUUGGCUCCUUUUAAAUGAAUUAGCAGAAUCAAUGAUUGGCUUCAGUUUGAUAAUUAGGUUUUAUCUAUGCUGUUGCUUGUUGAUUGAUCAGCUUAACAAUAGUCUCAUAAGACUGCCUCUGAGGCAAUAUGAAUUUUACAUUGAUCUCAAAUCAGGUAGGAUUACCCGCUGAACUUAA
rnacentral:misc_RNA from 1 species